rnacentral:rRNA from 1 species
CGGAACGUGUCCUGUAGUGGGGGAUAGCCCGGCGAAAGCCGGAUUAAUACCGCAUACGCUCUACGGAGGAAAGGGGGGGAUCUUAGGACCUCCCGCUACAGGGGCGGCCGAUGGCAGAUUAGCUAGUUGGUGGGGUAAAGGCCUACCAAGGCGACGAUCUGUAGCUGGUCUGAGAGGACGACCAGCCACACUGGGACUGAGACACGGCCCAGACUCCUACGGGAGGCAGCAGUGGGGAAUUUUGGACAAUGGGGGCAACCCUGAUCCAGCAAUGCCGCGUGUGUGAAGAAGGCCUUCGGGUUGUAAAGCACUUUUGUCCGGAAAGAAAACGCCGUGGUUAAUACCCGUGGCGGAUGACGGUACCGGAAGAAUAAGCACCGGCUAACUACGUGCCAGCAGC